GAUCCCUCCCUGCCCUGAAGGAAGUCAGAGGGGGAGGGUAACGCUCCCUGAUCCCUCACAAAAUGGAGUGAAGCGUCACGCCCAAACAAACAUGCCUGCUGUGGGCUGAGCAAGAGAGAGAGAGAGCAAGUGGGAGGAGAGGAAGCCCUGCCAGCACUGGAGGGAGUGGCUGGCCGAGGGAAUCACAAACUAAAAAGGCGUGUUGGGUCAGUCACACCUGACACACUGGACAAAACAAGAAGAGUGUCCCGAAUCAAAGAGAAAACCAGCAGCUACAGAGAGAGAAAACCAGAGGAGAAAUGAAGGACACGCCGAAGAAAGGAAACGGAGAGAAGAGAACUAUGGAUGUCUCAUGUUCAGCGAAUGGGAAAAAAACGUCUGGAAGCAAAAAAGAUGAUGAUGGAUCAUUUCCAGUGAAGAUUCAGGGUGCAGGUGUCGAACCCUUUGAGCUGCAGGUUCAUGGAUUCUGGCUGGUCCAGGAUGCCAUCCUGACCGUUCUGGCGAGAGAGGAGGUGGCACCGCGCACGUCUAUCGCUCUGGCCCUUUCAGGUGUGACCCUCGACCCCAUGAUGGAGCUCCAGGACGUCAAGGGCUUCAAAGCUGGAGUCACUCUCCGUCUAGUCGAAGCUGGUUGUCCAACCUGGCUGAGCUGGAAAACUAUCAUGGACCAUCGGCCAUGUUCCAGAAUACAGCUUGACCAAUUAGAGCUGGUAAGAACAGCAAGUUUUUAGGGUUGGACAGCCACAGUAAAAAUUGGAAACGGCAGGGAAAUGGUGGUUUUUUUCUGUUUUUUUUUUUUUAGCUGAAGAAGUCAUUGAAAGUGUAUGAUUCGUCAAAGUUUCUAUAGUGAAUAUAUAUUUUUAUAAUUCUAAAACAAUUUAUUGGCUAGAUAUUGCUCAGAUUUACAGUGCAACUUGUUCACAAGUCAUUUAUACUAGAAAUUGUCUGUUUUUUGUGUGAGUUUUAAUGAAUCAGUUGAACUGGGUCACAGACUCAUUCUUCAAUCUGUCUGCAUUUUUAUAUAUCCACUAACAGUGGUAUUUUAGUGUUAUUUAUUCUAAAAAAAAAAACUAUAAUUAUAAACCACAGAGCCGAUCCUCCCUUCACGCAGAAUACGAAGCUGCGUAGGGCCCCCGAAACACCAGGGGGCCCCCUUGCUCUCAAAGAUGAUUUAAUUUAGUUUAGUUUUUGAAUUUGGCCAGUGGUUAUGAAAACAUGACUGAUCAUUUCUUUAAAUGCGGUGUGCUGUCACCAUUUCUAUGUAAAAAAUCAGUCAAAUCAUGUAAUGUGAAUGUUGUACAGUCUUGCUCGAGACUAAAAAAAAUGAGUUGAAAGCGUACAGAGCCGCGAAAGAGAUACUGUUUCUCAAGCGCUUUCCGCCAGCGUGAUUCAAGACGGAGUGAAACACGGACAAAUGCGUUUCAUUCAUUUGUUCAUAACCACUCAUACCCCCAUAUGCUCUGUUUUGCGUAGGGCCCUGAGAAGUCUAGGAUCGGCACUGAAUAAUCAUAACAACUCUGAUCCAAUACAUCAGUACCUUUAUUCAGUGAUCAUAAACCACUGGAAAGGUCAUGGAAAUUCACUUGCUUAGAAAGUGUGGGAACCAUGUGGUUUUUGCUGGUCCAAGCUGAUCAGCCAGACCAUCCCCUCCUUCAGCUGACAGUCCAUCUUCACCAGUUCCCUCAAUCCAAAACCAGUCUGACCACUUUAAUCGAGAAUGACCAGCUGGUAUCUGGUUUGAUGCGAGUCCGAGGUGGUCUACCAACCUAACUUGGAUCAGCUAGAAACCAACCAUCAUGUUCCAAAAUGCAGCAGCACUAGUGAUAAUUUCCACAGGGAUCAGUGGGGGUUUUGCUCGACUGGUUUUGCAACUUUUUGAUUUCAUCGCAAACCAUUUGAUGAAUCUUGUCUCUCUGCUGAGUGAGUCACAUGGCACUUAUUAUAAGCAGUGUGGGAAAAUAAAUGAUAGAAUAGAAGAUGUUGUUGCUCACUGGAUAAAUCAUAGUUUUACAAGAUGAGACGCCUUGUAUAUUUUCUAAAUAUUUUUGUUAUUUUAAUUACAGAAGAAAAUUAGUAGUUUUACUUUGUUAACAGUAAUAUUUUCACUGAUCCAAUAUCUUGAUAACUAUAUAUUUUUUUAUAUUUUUCAGUUUUCUUUUUAAUUUUAGUUUGUUUUAAUAACUUUAUGUGCUUGUCAUCUGUCAUAUUUCUAUUUAACUUUAAUGUCAGCGUUAGUUUUAGUAGUUUCAGUACUUCAAGUUUUGUCACUUAGCCAAGGCAAACUUUUUCAUUUUCAUUUAGGGUUUUUAGGUUUUUUUAUCUAAUAUUUGCAUUUUAUUUCAGCUUUUGUUUAAAUUAUUGAAAAAUAUUUUUAAUAGUUUUAGUUAACAGUAACAUCACUGUUCCAGUAUCUUGAUAACUUACUGUCUUUGUGCACAAAUGUUGUCAUAAAAUACAUAAAAGUGCUUUUAUUCAGUAUUGCCUCUAAGUAAUUAAAAAUGC
rnacentral:lncRNA from 1 species